AUUCCACCAUCAUUUAGCACUUACUCCAUUCUGCUCAAAUUACUGUUAGCUGUUAACACAUCUGUCUCCCUUUGUCAUUAAUUUAUUCAUUCAGCUGACAAUUACUGAAAGUCUCGAAAGCGUCAGCCGCAGGGAGGGGGUGAUAGGAGGGAGUUAACCAAUAAAAAUGAGUGAACUGGGCUUCUUUCCUCCCAUAGCGUAGAACCUCAUCAGGGAGAAAGACAGAUCUCUAACAAUGUGGUCUCAUUUGGUCCUGUGCCUCCAGGGCCUGGGUUCUGAUAAAAAUGGCAGCACUGGAGCUGAGCAAGGGUGGGGGUGUGUGUUUUGUGGGGGGUGCCCUGCCUGCAACUCUGCAGCCCCUCCACCUGCCCAGCACAGCGCUCAGGGGAUGUUGGUAGGGUGGGUAUGCAAGUUAGCAUGAAGCUCUUCAGGCUACAACACAAGCUGUGUCAAGUAGGAAGGGACCUCAGAGAGGCCCAGCUUUGGGUUCACUGUUUCCUAGACUAUAGACGGGAUUCACUUGGGGUGCUGGUUAAAAAUUCAGGUCCUUAGACCUCUGCCCUGGAGGAUCUGGCCUUGCAGGUUCUGGCCUGGGGUCCAGGGACCUGGAUGUCACAAUCACUGCUCUGGUGUCACAUGUAUUGUCCGUGAGAAGGUGGGGCCAGCCUGGGGUGGAGCCAACCUCAGGAAAGAAGGAAUUCCUCUGGAGUCAACCAGCCUCCCCGAAUAAAAGAGACUCAGAGAGGCUGGGUGGGGCACCCUGAAACCAAAGAGGAAAACUCCCUCCAGAGAGCAGAGCUCUGUGUACAGGCCACGACUGGCCUUCCCUGGUUGGGAAGUUCCCAUGGCUCCUGGCAGCUCGGUGCCGCGUGGACUUUUGCCCUCUUUUGUCCACUUCAAUUUCACCAGAGGCAUAAGCUGACACCUGUGGGACUCCUAAAAGGGCUCACGUGCUGGCUUUCAGAGCCUGGGAGUCAGAGGGGAGAAACUGAAGACUGAGGACUGGUUUCUCAGAGACCUCCAGAGGAGAGGACCUCGGACAGAUCAGCUGGUUUUCUAAACUGGUUGCUUCAGACUGUGGGUCAGAGUUCUAUUUUUGUAUGUGGUCUGGCCACUGUCCAUCAGUACAUUCAGUCUCUGAGGUCUCCACGGCCUUCCACCGAAGCCACUACCUGCGCUGUCGCCCGUUGCCACGGAUGCAGGAACACCUGUGCAUCUGUGCUUGCCGGAACAAGGACGCCCACAGAGGGGCUUUCCUGCCAAGGAACAACUCCAGUAAAACUGCACAGCGCCGGUGGUUCCUGGCUGGCAACCGAAAGCCAGUGUUCCAUCCCUUCUAACAUGCUGUGUCUGACUUGGGUUCAUUCUCACCACCUCCAAGAGUCUUACUAGGUCUUGGGUCCAUUUGCAUCUGAUUUACAUGUGCUUUACAUGUGUCUGCAAGACAGCUAUUGAUUUCUAGCUUGUUCUGUAGUGGCUGGAUUCCAUUCCUCUGAAAGCAGGGGUAUUUUUUUUUUUUAAUUAAUUGAAGUACAGUUUAUUUACCAUGUUGUGUUUAAUUUCUGCUGUACAGUAAAGUGAUUCAGCUAUAUAUAUUCUCUUCCAUUAUGGUUUACCACAGGAUAUUAAAGAGAGUUCCCUGUGUUAUACACUAGGACUUUGUUGUUUAUUCAUCCUAUGUAUAAUAGUUUGUAUCUGCUAAUGUCAGACUCCCAAUCCUUCCCUCCCCUUGGCAACCACAGGUCUGUUUUCUAUGUCUGUGACUAUUUCUGUUUCAUAUAUAUAUGUUCACUUGUAUGGUAUUUUAUAUUCCAUAUGUAAAUGGUAUCAUACAGUAUUUGUCUUUUUGACUUACUUCACUUAGUAUGAUAAUCUCUAGCAAUCCACGUCGCUGCCAACGGCAUUACUUUUUUAGGGAUGAGUAGUAUUCCACUGUGUAUGUGUACCGCAUCGUCUUUGUCCGCUCAUCUGUCGAUGGACAUUC
ensembl:lncRNA